CCUACGGGAGGCUGCAGUGGGGAAUAUUGGACAAUGGGGGCAACCCUGAUCCAGCCAUGCCGCGUGUGUGAAGAAGGCCCUCGGGUUGUAAAGCACUUUCAGUGAGGAAGAACGCCUGGUGGUUAAUACCCAUCAGGAAAGACAUCACUCACAGAAGAAGCACCGGCUAACUCCGUGCCAGCAGCCGCGGUAAUACGGAGGGUGCGAGCGUUAAUCGGAAUUACUGGGCGUAAAGCCCGCGUAGGUGGCUUGAUAAGCCGGUUGUGAAAGCCCCGGGCUCAACCUGGGAACGGCAUCCGGAACUGUCAAGCUAGAGUGCAGGAGAGGAAGGUAGAAUUCCCGGUGUAGCGGUGAAAUGCGUAGAGAUCGGGAGGAAUACCAGUGGCGAAGGCGGCCUUCUGGACUGACACUGACACUGAGGUGCGAAAGCGUGGGUAGCAAACAGGAUUAGAUACCCCUGUAGUC
rnacentral:rRNA from 1 species